rnacentral:lncRNA from 1 species
AGCCGGUCAGACCGGUCUCUAUGGGUGGUCUAACUAGUCUGGCUGCUAUAGCCGGUCUGGCACUCGUCCAAUGGUCUGACCGGUGGCCCCGACCGGUCACCCCAUGUUCGAGGCGAAUUUUGGAGUCCUGGUCGAAUUGGAGUUGAAACAGGAUUUCCCUGUGGGAAAAGACCUUCCACCCUAUAAUAUAUAAAGGGUCCUGGCUGAUUGAGGGCUAUCACCCAAUCCUCAAACAUAUCUUUUUAUGCUUUUAUCUCAAAC